AGAAACAGAGCCCCUAUGCUCCCCUCAUCUCCCUCAAAUCGCCGCCACCCACCGCCUCGUCUCCCUCCUCUGAUCCACCUCGUCGCGGGCCUUCCCCCUCCACUCCUCCCACCUUGCAGCUCCGGAGGUUGCUGGACCUGCCUCAUCCCCCACCCACCCAUCCCCUCUCAUAUCCCAUCUCUCUCUUCACGUGGCUCCCCGCUGCGCCACCUGCGGCGGCUGAUUCAGGCGACGUCCGGCGAAUCCCACCAUCUUGAAGCAUAGCCUGAGGUUCCCUUGCAUCACGGCGCCCUUCCAUCCGGCUAGAUCCGGCGCUCGCGGCCACCAAAGCCCACCCGCGACCCUCCCCCAUGGCUAGGGUUUCCGUCAUGGGCUCUGGCGCCGGUGGCCAUGUCGUGAUCCUCUCGUCCGACGUGCAGGGAUGAACGACCAGUGGAUAGCCUUGCCGCUACUCGGAAUGAAGCAGCCAUGGAGCUUCCUCCUCCUUCUCCUCUGGUUUCAGAUUCAAAAGAUAUGUGGAUGAUUAUAUGGGUGCAUGGCAAGUAUAGUGCAAUGAUAAUGACGAUGUUCCGGUUCAUGAUGAAGAUGAUGGAUGCUUUCAGUUUUGGUUAUGUAGUAGGGAUGUUGUUCCUGUUGGAUGAUGUUCCUCGACGAAGUUUUAGUUAAGGUGUAGGGAUGUUGAUUGAUGCUUUCAGUUUGAUCUUCGUUGUCAAGAAAUUAUUUAGAUUAUGCAUCACAUUUGGAUGAUGUUCCUCCUGUAA